rnacentral:tRNA from 1 species
AGCCUUGUGGUGUAAACAUGUUGGAUUGCAAAUCCAAAGUCGCGGAUUAACACCCGCCGGGGCUU